GGGAAUGUGGCUCAGUGGUAGAGUGUUUGCCUAACAUGCACGAAGCCCUGGGUUCAAUUCCUCAGUACCA
rnacentral:tRNA from 1 species